UACGUAGGUGGCAAGCGUUGUCCGGAUUUAUUGGGUUUAAAGGGUGCGUAGGCGGCUGUUUAAGUCAGUGGUGAAAGCCGAUCGCUUAACGAUCGAACUGCCAUUGAUACUGAAUAGCUUGAGUACAGAUGAGGUAGGCGGAAUUGACAGUGUAGCGGUGAAAUGCAUAGAUAUUGUCAAGAACACCGAUUGCGAAGGCAGCUUACUAAAGUGUCACUGACGCUGAGGCACGAAAGCGUGGGGAGCGAACAGG
rnacentral:rRNA from 1 species